rnacentral:rRNA from 1 species
CGCGUAGGCGGCUUUAUAAGUCUGGAGUGAAAGUCCUCUUUUCAAGGGAGGAAUUGCUUUGGAAACUAUAGAGCUUGAGUGCAGGAGAGGUUAUCGGAAUUCCCGGUGUAGCGGUGAAAUGCGUAGAUAUCGGGAGGAACAUCGGUGGCGAAGGCGGGUAACUGGACUGCAGCUGACGCUGAGGCGCGAAAGUGUGGGGAGCAAACA